rnacentral:rRNA from 1 species
AGAGUUUGAUCCUGGCUCAGGAUGAACGCUAGCUACAGGCUUAACACAUGCAAGUCGAGGGGAAACGACAUCGAAAGCUUGCUUUUGAUGGGCGUCGACCGGCGCACGGGUGAGUAACGCGUAUCCAACCUGCCCACCACUUGGGGAUAACCUUGCGAAAGUAAGACUAAUACCCAAUGACGUCUCUAGAAGACAUCUGAAAGAGAUUAAAGAUUUAUCGGUGAUGGAUGGGGAUGCGUCUGAUUAGCUUGUUGGCGGGGUAACGGCCCACCAAGGCGACGAUCAGUAGGGGUUCUGAGAGGAAGGUCCCCCACAUUGGAACUGAGACACGGUCCAAACUCCUACGGGAGGCAGCAGUGAGGAAUAUUGGUCAAUGGGCGAGAGCCUGAACCAGCCAAGUAGCGUGCAGGAUGACGGCCCUAUGGGUUGUAAACUGCUUUUAUAAGGGAAUAAAGUGAG